rnacentral:rRNA from 1 species
UACGGAGGGUGCAAGCGUUAUCCGGAAUCACUGGGUUUAAAGGGUGCGUAGGCGGUUUUGUAAGUCAGUCGUGAAAUCGCUGGGCUUAACCCAUGCAAUUGCGAUUGAUACUGUGAGACUUGAAUGGGGUUUAGGCAGGCGGAAGGUGGCAUGUAGCGGUGAAAUGCAUAGAUAUGCCAUAGAACACCGAUUGCGAAGGCAGCCUGCUGGGCCUUUAUUGACGCUGAGGCACGAAAGCGUGGGGAGCAAACAGG